rnacentral:lncRNA from 1 species
AUCUCUUUUGCGAUUUUUCUCCCUCCCCAUCUCCACACCAAUUUGUUUCCCAAUCUCUCAUCCACCUGACAACGACGACCUUUGGUGGCUCAGCAACAUCGACGUCCUUGAUGCUCAUUUGCAUGAUUAUUGGUGCGUUUUGGGGGUUAGGGUUUAAAAUUGGGGAUUUGGGUUUUUUAUUCUUGGGGAUUAGGGUUUAAAAUUGGAGAUUUGGGUUUCUAUUCUGGUUUUCAUUACGUUGCUCUAUUACUAGUUUAUAGUUUAUAGAAGAUGGUGAUUGUGGCUAAUAUUCACAGUAGUAUCAUCACUUCUUUGAACACUAUCAUGGGUUAUGACAUCUUUCAUUUUCUUAAAUUUUCCUCCCAUAUGGCACACUGUUUUGGUUACAGGUUUCUGAAAUUUUUUGCAAAAUCAGUCACCGCUCUGUUAUUGCCACUGGAUUAGGAAGCACAAGUGUUGGAUUCACUAUAUUGUGAAUGAUGAAGGUAUGUUUUUUAAGCUGAUUACUGUAUGAUACUGUGAUUUUCUGGUUUGCUCCUUGUUGUAUCUUGUAUAUUCUGUUAUGCCAUAUUGUGAAAGCUUGCUAUUAGUGGUUGUCUAGAUACAAUGAUCUGGUUUAUGGAAUUAAUAAUUCCCUCACGUAAUUAAAUUAUCCUCCAUGUAACUUUGUGUUGUAUAAAUUUUUUUACAUUAACGCAUGCCAUCAUGUAACAGUCCAACUUCAAUUCCUGAUUUUUAUUUUUAUUUUUUACAUUUAGAAGUAAGGAAUAUAUUUUAUAAAUAGUAGGAAANUAGAAAGUGUUUUAUCUUUACUUGGACCCUCUGUACAAAUCAUACAUAUGUAUAAUUUUUUUUAUAUUAUACUUUAACAACUACCUUUGAUACACCAUUUUCCAUAUAAAUGAAAAAAAAAAUGAUUUUGCUGCUGUCAAUUUUUUUAAAGGCAACCGAAUGAGUAUUUCAGUGUUAUUAUUUUGAAAUUGUUUCCAUUCAAUUCAAUUCAAUGUUAUAAUUUAAGUCUAUUAUAUUCAAUGUUAUCAUAUUUUCAUAAAUAUGAGUGGACCUUGCUUGUCCAUUAUAAAAUAACUUUAUUUUAUUUCCCUUUUUUACAGGAGGACAAUAGGCAGACUAAUGACCAGUGCAUGAAGUCUACAAGCAAUGAACAAGUUAUUUCCCUUCAACCUGAAGAUUAGGCUUUGAUUAAGUGUUAUUUAAGUUUUGUUUUUUGAUUAGAUAUUAUUUAAGUUUUCUUUAGGUUACUUAGACUUAAGAGAUUAAGUUAAACUACAAAUUUUAAGUUAGACAUCUUAUUUGUUUAUUUGGAUUUUGAAACUUUA